rnacentral:rRNA from 1 species
UACGAAGGGAGCUAGCGUUGUUCGGAAUCACUGGGCGUAAAGCGCACGCAGGCGGAUGUGUCAGUCAGGGGUGAAAUCCCGGAGCUCAACUUCGGAACUGCCUUUGAUACAGCACAUCUGGAGUCCGGAAGAGGUGGGUGGAAUUCCUAGUGUAGAGGUGAAAUUCGUAGAUAUUAGGAAGAACACCGGUGGCGAAGGCGGCCCACUGGUCCGGUACUGACGCUGAGGUGCGAAAGCGUGGGGAGCGAACGGG